ACAGAGCCAUAUUGGAACAGUGCUUGGAGAGCUGCAACCUGCAGGAAUGCCACACAGAGUCACUUCAGGUAGGCUGUGGAAGGGACUCCACGUGCAGAAGAUCCACAGCAGAAGAAGAAAGAGACCACAGAGGAGUGGCAGAUACAGUGUUUUGGACUGAAGGCAAUCCUUAUCCCCUCAUGCUGCUCAGCGGGAGGUGGCAGAAGAAGGUAGAUGGAAUUAAGAUGUUUUUAGUUUUCAUUUCCCACUGCUCUAGUAUGUUAUUAAUAGUCAAUAAAUUACAUUAAUUUCCCUACGUCGAGUCUGUUUCUCCCAUGUUUAUAAUUGGUUAGUGAUCUCUGUCUUUAUCUCAACCCGCAAGCUUUUUUCCCAUUGUAUUUUCUCCCCUUCUUGUUCUGUAGAGGUGAAGUGCAAGAACAUCAAGGUGGUUCUUACCUACCUACCGGUACUAUCACACAGGUAUUAUACUUAUAAACCCAUUAACUCGAGUAUAAGCAAGCUCACCAUUUCUCACAAUGACAAUACUUGUAGCUUACAAGAUCCUUUCAUGCAUAACAAAUGAUUAACUCCUCAUGAAUUAAAUGUUAUUUGUGUUAAUUGUGUUAUUGAUAGUUCUUAUAAAUUGUCAUCUGCAGCCAGCUAAGAUAUUAGCAAUUUCUGGAGGACAGUGUUAUACGAAUUCCAUUUCCCAAGACAAACAAACAAACUUAGUUACUUGGUCAGAUGGACUGGAAAAUUUUAAUUCAUCAGAGUGAAUAGUGUUGCAAAAAGUCAAUAUGUUUAAUAUAAAUCACGUCCUACCUAUUGUUUGGAUGGAUGAAGAACUGUCUAAAAUCUUGAGAAAAGAUACACAAAUAAUUUAUUUGAUCUUAGCACCUCUUGUAAAUCCUCAAGUAAUAAUUACCUAUUAAUUAUUUCCUUGAGGUGAAAUUCAGACUUCAACAGUUGAAAGCAGAUUCAAAGAUGCCUUGAUCCAUAAGGGUUUUCUUCUUUAAACUGAAACUUUAAACCAGUCUCUAGAGAUCCUUCCUGUUUCUGUGAGCCCUAGGGAAUCACAGGGAGUUCAUGCAUAUUUAAUAUCAGUCAGAUCAACGUAUACAGUAACCAUGCUAAAAGAACAAUUAUGCAUAAUAUUUAUGUAAAUAUAGAACAAGAAUUAUGUGUUUUUAUUUAGAACAUUGUAAAGACUUGUAUAUUAUUUAAUAUUAAAAAAACCAACAUAAUUUGGAGUGGUUCUGAACUGUUUGUUUACAGUGUAUUUCAUAGCAAAGCACUGCAAUUUUCAUAUUCAUUUUAACUAUAGCUAGGUUAAGACUGGUAUAAUCCUUAGAGAAUACAAUUGUCUUAUAUGGAAAAUUCAUACAAAUCUUUAUUUGUUCCAUAGACAAUUAUUUAUCACUUUAUUUAAAUUUUUUAAACUUAUAAGAUGUGACAGAAUUAACUCUAUAUUUCCAUUAGUGAUAGUACUAUUACUCAUCUACAUGAUAACUUUUAAAUUCUGAAAAUAUGUUUUAUAUUUUCCCGAUGUAAUGUAAUUGUGGAGAAUGCUGCAUACUUUUGUAAGCCUAGAAAUCAAUCACCUGGUAUCUUCUAUCUCCUAGGAUAGACGUGCUUCUAGAGAAACAGUAUUAAGUCUUCACAAAAACCAUGACUUCACCCUUUCAGAAACUACUUACUUAAUACUGUAUCUCAGAUAAUUUUUGUUUCUUAGUGUUUCUUG
ensembl:lncRNA